CGGGAUACUUCAGGCUGUACCGCAUGUGAUAGCGCUGUUUAUAGUGCCAAUUCAUUUCACAACCCAUAUAGGUCUUUUGUUCAUGGAAGCGAUAUGGACAGCGAACAUCCAUGACUGCAUCCACGGCAACAUCUGGCCUGUAAUGGGUGCAGGAUACCAUACGAUACACCACACAACAUACAAGCAUAACUAUGGUCAUUAUACCAUAUGGAUGGAUUGGAUGUUCGGCUCCCUUAAGGAUCCUCUUUUAGAAGAAGAUGGCAACAAAGAUAGCUCCAAGAAAGCUGAGUGAGAAUGCCCACUUGUUUUUUUUUUUUAUAUUGCCGUCUUUUGUUCUGCUUGCUUGUUGUGGUCCUUUCUUGUUCGUUUUCUUCUUCAUGUGUCUCUCACAACCUUUCCAAUUAGUUUGUUACAAACAUUUGCUGUGUAGUUUAAAACAUGUAAAUGUUUGAUUUUUGCAAGACUCCAUUUUUGUUAAGGUAAACCUUGAAACAAAGAUUUUGACUUUUCUGUCAAUCUUGCGCCACCAGUUGUGUGGAUUUGUGGGGGCAUUGCGAAUAAUAUAUCUUCGUCAAAUAUCAAAAUUCGGCCUGGCCCAAUAUAUAGCUGGGCCAGUAGACCCGCUAUUGAUGAGUAACUUGUCCUUUUCUUGUUGAACAAGUCAACAAGCAAAACACACUCUCUCCAUUUGCCGGUAUGUCAAGCUAUGUUCUCAAUCUAACUUCAAGAAUGUUGUAUCAAUAGUGACUUCUUUACUUAAAACGUUUUUUCGGUUUUCCAGGGCUCACAUUCCAUCCGCUGGGCGGGAUACUUCAGGCUGUACCGCAUAUGAUAGAGCUGUGUAUAGUGCUGAUUCAUCUCAUAACACAUCUGAGUCUUUAGUUUUUUGGAAGGGAUAUGGACAGCAAGCAUCCGUGGUAAAAUUUGGCCUAUAAUGGUGCAGGAUACCAUACACCAUACGACAUACAAGCAUAACUAUGGUCAUUAUACCAUAUGGAUGGAUUGGAUGUUUGGCUCCCUUAGGGCUCUUUUAGCAGAAGAAGAAAGAACAGUGAGAAUAUUCCAUGCUCACAUUGUUCUCCUGACUCUUAACAUUUUCUAAUCACUUUGUUAUUCCAUGCUCACAUUGUUCUCCUGACUCUUAACCUUUUCUAAUCACUUUGUUGGAAUUAAGUAAAAAAGCAAAUCAUUUUAAUACUGUAAGUUUGUUUUAUCUGAAAAGGUUGUAGCUAUAAAUCACUCUCUCUACCACAACCAUUUUCAGUAACGCUUAAGCACAGUUUAACUUUUCUCGGCGGUUUCAUGGCGGCGACUAGUGCAGAUUAUAAUCAGUUCGUCAAUGAGACCUCUUUUUACAACCGUAUGGUUCUGAGUCACCUUUUGCCGGCGAGUCUAUGGGAACCUUUACCACAUUUCCUUCAGACAUGGCUCAGGAACUACCUCGCCGUAAACAUACUCUAAUUCACCUCCGGCUUCCUCUGGUGCUUCUACAUCUAUUACCUUAAACCCAACGUUUACGUCCCCAAAGGUGCUUUUCUUGUUUUUCUUUCAAUUUACGAUAUUCUGUUUUUUAAAAGCACGUAAAUUUAGUUAUUUCUCAACUUUGAAUCUAUUCUAACGAUUUGGCUAAUUUACAUUUUUAAGUUGAAUUUUUGAUCUCUGGAUGAGGUUUGAACUCAAAAUGUACGUUGAAAUUGAAAAAUUGUGCUUUCAAGUUCUGUUUCUUGUGGGGUUUCUUCUAUUUUGUGUUCAGAUUCUAUCCCUACAAGAAAGGCAAUGAUUCUGCAAAUAUCUGUGGCAAUGAAGGCUAUGCCUUAGCACAGUCUUCUUCCAGCUGUAUCUGAGUAUAUGAUCGAGCAUGGUUGGACCCAAUGUUACUCUACAAUUGACCAUUUCAACUGGUUCCACUGUAUCCUCUACAUAACUCUCUAUCUUGCUUUAGUUGAGUUUGGGGUUUAUUGGAUUCACAAAGAGCUUCAUGACAAUAAAUUUCUCUAUAAGCAUCUCCAUGCGACCCGUCACAUCUACAACAAGCAAAACACAAUCUCUCCAUUUGCUGGUAUGUCAAGUUAUGUUCUCAAUCUAUAUUUAAGAUUAUGCUGAGUAUCAAUAGUGACUUGUUUACUUAAAACGUUUUUUCGGUUUUCCAGGGUUCGCAUUCCAUCCGUUGGACGGGAUAAUUCAGUCUUUACCGCAUGUGAUAGCGCUGUUUAUAGUGCCGAUUCAUCUCAUAACACAUCUGUGCCUUUUGUCUUCGGAAGGGAUAUGGACAGCAAACAUCCAUGACUGCAUCCACGGCAACAUCUGGCCAGUAAUGGGUGCAGGAUACCAUACGAUACACCACACCACAUACAAGCAUAACUAUGGCCACAAAACCAUAUUGAUGGAUUGGAUGUUUGGCUCUCUUAAGGCUUCUUUAGCAGAAGAAGACAGUUUCAAGGAGAAAGCAAAGUGAGAAUGUUCAAUGCUCAGUUGCUCACAUCACAUGUCUCUUCUUCAUAUGUUGUUCUUCUCGUGACUCAUCUUAAACCUUUGUAAUCACCUUGUUGGAAAUAAAUAAAUAUAUGUUGGAAUCACUCUUAAACCUCUUUCUUGUUCAACAAGUCACCUGGGUGUGAUCAUAUCGCAUACUUGAGAGUUGAGGCUAAUGAUAGUAAAACGCAAUUUAACCCGCUUAAAGUUUAAUCGUAUUCAAAGGAUUGGCCACAUAGACUUGAAAUAAUCCAUCACAAACCCUCCAUACCAAAAAUUCCUUAAAAAAUAGCAAAUCAUUUAAAUAUUG
rnacentral:lncRNA from 1 species